UUAGCACUUUCACAGAUCCUCCCCCAGGCAGUGGCACCAAGAUUUGGUAGCCUGUGGUGAGAGAAAACCCCUGAUUGCAUCCUUGGCUUGGGAACUGUACCAGUGGCAGCUGUCACUCAGUGGGAGAGAA
rnacentral:snoRNA from 1 species